UUAGUCAAUUUCCAUCCAUUAGAUCCUCAUGCUGUAUAAAGCCUAAAACUCAUGUUUGAAGCCCACACAUAGAGGAAUACAAAUGUAUCGAGAUAAGGAUCUUUUUUGAAUCUUGCAAUUUUUGGUGGCAUAUCCUGCAACAGUAUGUUUGUUGUUAUGGUUGUUUUUACUUUGGUUUAGAAAGCAAACCCAGCUAAGAGUUAGGUAGAGUUUUAUUUCUUAUAGGUUAAUUUGUGUAAAUUUGUAAAUAAUGUAGAUCAUUUGACAUUUCCUUGUCGCAUUGCUGCUUAGAGUUUCAGUGAAAUGAAGAGUGUGAACUGUGAAGUGAAUAAUCUGCAAUGUGUAUUUACAUGUACCAGAUCUGUAUGUGAGUACAGAUAUAUAAUAGGAAACAGUUUUAUUUUUUAAAUCCAUGUAGCCAAUAAUCAUUUUAUUCUUUCCAACAGAUGUUCAAACACGAAUGUUAUGAAUUUCGUUUUGGGGUAGAUUGACGGUAGACUGGUCGCUGGUUUCCGUUACUGGCCUUUUGCGACGUCUUGAUACCAGUUUGGAAUAAUAUAGCUGGACUCUGGGGAAUCCUCACUCAUAUUCGAGACAGGUCGGCCAGUUUGUCCAGACAUGAUGUCCUUCUCGCUUGAAGGUCACGAGAAACAUUACGUAAAACUGGCAUGCGAUGGUGUAGAGGUUGGGUGAGAAUGACACGUGUUUCAUCAUUAUCAAAGCAGACCCAUCCCCAGCAACGUCACCUGCAGAAGGAAAGGCCAGU